GACGUAGGAGACGAGCGUUAUCCGGAUUUACUGGGCGUAAAGCGCGUGCAGGCGGCAUGGCAAGUUGGAUGUGAAAGCUCCCGGCUUAACUGGGAGAGGUCGUUCAAUACUGCCAGGCUUGAGAGUGGUAGAGGGAAGCGGAAUUCCGGGUGUAGUGGUGAAAUGCGUAGAUAUCCGGAGGAACACCAGUGGCGAAAGCGGCUUCCUGGCCCAUUUCUGACGCUCAGACGCGAAAGCUAGGGUAGCAAACGGG
rnacentral:rRNA from 1 species